GGGAAUUUUGGGCAAUGGGCGAAAGCCUGACCCAGCAACGCCGCGUGAGGGAUGAAGUAUUUCGGUAUGUAAACCUCGAAAGAAUGGGGAGAAUAAAUGACGGUACCAUUUAUAAGCUCCGGCUAACUACGUGCCAGCAGCCGCGGUAAUACGUAGGGAGCAAGCGUUGUUCGGAUUUACUGGGCGUAAAGGGCGCGUAGGCGGCGCGGUAAGUCACUUGUGAAAUCUCUGAGCUUAACUCAGAACGGCCAAGUGAUACUGCUGUGCUAGAGUGCGGAAGAGGCAACCGGAAUUCUUGGUGUAGCGGUGAAAUGCGUAGAUAUCAAGAGGAACACCUGAGGCGAAGGCGGGUUGCUGGGCCGACACUGACGCUGAUGCGCGAAAGCCAGGGGAGCAAACG
rnacentral:rRNA from 1 species